GUCGAACACUCCUGUGCCCUAGUGGUCAGAGCGUCCGCCUCGAAUGCGGGAGGUCACGAGUUCGAACGUUCGAUUUGCGGCC